ACAGUGGCUAUGCCAGGAAGAAAACAAGCCCCCAGAAACAGUAUAAAAGAAGCUGUUCAGGUCAAAUCACCUCUCCCUGAUGCUCAUAUAUCUGGAUGAGAGAGACGGUGAGCGGGACUGUCAUCACCUGGCUACUGAGAGUGUUCCCAGUCCGUGACGCUGAGUUCCUGUCCCACCUUCAGCCAUGAAGAUCAUUUAUCUGCUCUUUGCUGUUUUCUUUCUGGUGCUACAAGGUGUGCCAGAAUUCUCCAAGGCUCAGAUUCUCACUGUGAGAUGUAGAAUGCAAGGGGGUCAUUGUUUCUUUGGGAGAUGUCCUCCUAACCGGAGACGCAUUGGAAGAUGCUCUCGAAAUGCGUACUUUUGCUGUCAAACGCGACUUAUUUACUGAUUGUCUAAGCAGGAUCUCCGGGAAUGUGGGAGACAGCCACUUGCUUCUAAAAUCAUCAGAUCUUGCUUCAAUGGAACCCGGAAGUGUAAAGAACCUACUGAGCUGGAGAAAUUCCAGAAGGGAGCUUUGUAUCACCAUAUAAGUUUUGUUCCUCUCCUUUUAAUAAAAGCAAGUUGGUUUGAGGUAA